rnacentral:tRNA from 1 species
UGGCUCAGUUGGUAGAGCUUGGUGUUUGCAAUGCCAGGGUUGUGGGUUCAAUUCCCAC